rnacentral:tRNA from 1 species
GCCACUUUAGCUCAGUUGGUAGAGCAACGCUUUCGUAAAGCGUGGGUCGCAAGUUCAAGUCUUGUAAGUGGCU